rnacentral:rRNA from 1 species
AACGAACGCUGGCGGCAUGCCUAACACAUGCAAGGCGAACGAGACCUUCGGGGCUAGUGGCGCAGGGGUGCGUAACGCGUGGGAACCUGCCCUUAGGUUCGGAAUAACUCCCCGAAAGGGGUGCUAAUACCGGAUAAUGUCUUCGGACCAAAGAUUUAUCGCCUUUGGAUGGGCCCGCGUUGGAUUAGCUAGUUGGUAGGGUAAAAGCCUACCAAGGCGACGAUCCAUAGCUGGUCUGAGAGGAUGAUCAGCCACACUGGGACUGAGACACGGCCCAGACUCCUACGGGAGGCAGCAGUGGGGAAUAUUGGACAAUGGGCGAAAGCCUGAUCCAGCAAUGCCGCGUGAGUGAUGCAGGCCUUAGGGUUGUAAAGCUCUUUUACCCCGGACGAUCCUGACAGUACCGGCAGCAUAAGCACCGGCUAACUCCGUG